GCUAGAGUUGUUGGAGAGGUUCUAGGAAAAUUUCAUCCCCAUGGUGACACUGCUGUCUAUGAUUCCUUGGUGCGAAUGGCUCAGGCAUCCAUGGCUGGAAAUUAAGUACCAAAGAGCUUUUGAGGGAUGGAACAAUCAAUUGGGAGAAUGGAAGCUCAACAUCAUUGAUAAUUCUUUGAAUGGACAAGCACCAUCAGUUGCUGCCUCUUUUCAUGUUCUAUCUCUAUGUUUAUUUGCUGUAUAUACUAGGCGAUGCCCCUAAAUGUCUUUAAUAAAAUUUCAUUACUUCUUUUUUGGAAAAAAAAAUCCUCGUAUCAAAUAAUUCCAGCUUUCUGGAUUCUAGUCCAUUUGUUUUUGAACCUUUUGUCUUUGUAAA